GACGAACCGUGCGAACGUUGUUCGGAAUCACUGGGCUUAAAGGGCGCGUAGGCGGCUCGCCAAGUCCGGGGUGAAAGCCUCCAGCUCAACUGGAGAAGUGCCUUGGAAACUGGCGAGCUCGAGCGAGGUAGGGGUCGUGGGAACUUCCGGUGGAGCGGUGAAAUGCGUUGAUAUCGGAAGGAACGCCGGUGGCGAAAGCGCACGACUGGACCUCUCCUGACGCUGAGGCGCGAAAGCCAGGGGAGCAAACGGGG
rnacentral:rRNA from 1 species